CAGAUGCUAGAAACUGGCCUCCUGCCUCCCGAGGCCCUCAUAUCAAGGGUUUUGUCACUGGGUCAUACAACUGGAGCACAGGGAGAGGACUGUCCCUAUAGAACUGUUAGUGUUCCCCAUCUCUCCCUUCUCUGCUGGAAUCACAGGGUGCAGAAGCAGGUUACGGGAACUAGCAGCCAGGUCACGGCUUUCAUCUGCCGAUAUGAAAAUGAAGGCCGCGGAAGUGCAGGUGAUUUCCCCUUCCGCUCUGGGGGAGAAGCCAACCUUUCAUCUGUUGAGCAGAUUCAGCUCAGCUUUCCUGAUUGUCCACACAUGGGGUGCUCCUUGAGUUUGCCUUCAAAGUACUUGUAACAUCCCCUUAGCUCCCUCGUAAAUGAGCAAAUAAAUCUUUGCCAGAUGUUCA